CCCUGAGCAAGCUGGCCGCCAUUACUGUCCUCCAGCCCUUCUACUAUUUGGUGCAACAGACCAUCCACUGGCUCUUCAUGGGUUACUCCAUGACUGCCUUCUGCCUCUUCACGUGGGACAAAUGGCUUAAGGUGUAUAAAUCCAUCUAUUUCCUUGGCCACAUCUUCUUCCUGAGCCUACUAUUCAUAUUGCCUUAUAUUCACAAAGCAAUGGUGCCAAGGAAAGAGAAGUUAAAGAAGAUGGAAUAAUCCAUUUCCCUGGUGGCCUGUGCGGGACUGGUGCAGAAACUACUCGUCUCCCUUUUCACAGCACUCCUUUGCCCCAGAGCAGAGAAUGGAAAAGCCAGGGAGGUGGAAGAUCGAUGCUUCCAGCUGUGCCUCUGCUGCCAGCCAAGUCUUCAUUUGGGGCCAAAGGGGAAACUUUUUUUUGGAGAAGGCGUCUUGCUUUGUCACCCACGCUGGAAUGCAGUGGCGGGAUCUCAGCUCACCGCAACCUCCACCUCCUGGGUUCAAGUGAUUUUCCUGCCUCAGCCUCCCAAGUAGCUGGGAAUACAGGCACGCCACCAUGCCCAGCUAAUUUUUGUAUUUUCAGUAGAAACGGGAUUUCACCACGUUGGCCAGGCUGGUCUCGAACUCCUGACCGCAAGUGAUCCACCCGCCUCCGCCUCCCAAAGUGCUGGGAUUACAGGCGUGAGCCACCGUGCCCGGCCCAAAGGGGAAACUCUUGUGGGAGGAGCAGAGGGGCUCACAUCUCCCCUCUGAUUCCCCCAUGCACAUUGCCUUAUCUCUCCCCAUCUAGCCAGGAAUCUAUUGUGUUUUUCUUCUGCCAAUUUACUAUGAUUGUGUAUGUGCCGCUACCACCACCCCCCCCAUGGGGGGGUGGAGAGGGGUGCAAGGCCCUGCCUGCUCCACUUUUUCUACCUUGGAACUGUAUUAGAUAAAAUCACUUCUGUUUGUUC
rnacentral:lncRNA from 1 species